rnacentral:rRNA from 1 species
GACCCCGCACAAGCAGCGGAGCAUGUGGUUUAAUUCGACGCAACGCGAAGAACCUUACCAGGUCUUGACAUUGAUCUAAGCCCCAAGAGAUUGGGGUGCCCGCAAGGGAAGAGAAACAGGUGGUGCAUGGUUGUCGUCAGCUCGUGUCGUGAGAUGUUGGGUUAAGUCCCGCAACGAGCGCAACCCUUGCCGUCAGUUACUAACGGGUAAAGCCGAGGACUCUGACGGGACUGCCGUGGACAACACGGAGGAAGGUGGGGAUGAUGUCAAAUCAUCAUGCCCCUUAUGACCUGGGCUACACACGUGCUACAAUGGCCGCAACAAAGAGGAGCGAAGUCGCAAGGCAGAGCGAAUCUCGGAAAAGCGGUCUCAGUUCAGAUUGUGGGCUGCAACCCGCCCACAUGAAGUCGGAGUUGCUAGUAAUCGCGAAUCAGCAUGUCG